rnacentral:rRNA from 1 species
CCAAUAGCGUAUAUUAAAGUUGUUGCAGUUAAAAAGCUCGUAGUUGAAUUUUAGACCUGACCGGGCGGUCCGUCUCUGGCGAGUACUGUCUGUUGUCGGGUCUAUCCUUCUGGUGAGCCGGUAUGCCCUUUAUUGGGUGUGUCGGGGAACCAGGACCAUUACCUUGAAAAAAUUAGAGUGUUUAAAGCGGGCUUUUGCUUGAAUAGAUUAGCAUGGAAUAAUAGAAUAGGACGUUGGUUCUAUUUUGUUGGUCUAGGACCACCGUAAUGAUUAAUAGGGAUAGUUGGGGGCAUUAGUAUUCAAUUGUCAGAGGUGAAAUUCUUGGAUUUAUUGAAGACUAACUACUGCGAAAGCAUUUGCCAAGGAUGUUUUCAUUAAUCAAGAACGAAAGUUAGGGGAUCGAAGACGAUCAGAUACCGUCGUAGUCUUAACCAUAAACUAUGCCGACUAGGAAUCGGGCGACGUUAUUCUCAUGACUCGCUCGGCGCCUUAUG